CACCGCGGUUAUACGAGAGGACCAAGUAGAUAGAAAUCGGCGUAAAGUGUGGUUAGGGUAUUAAGGACUAAAGCCGAAUAUCUCCAAGGCUGUUAUACGCACCCGGAGGAACGAAGCCCCUUAGCGAAAGUAGCUUUAUUUGUUUAGCCUGAACCCACGACAGCUAUGGAACAAACUGGGAUUAGAUACCCCACUAUGCUUAGCCGUAAAAUUUGACAGUAAGAUACAACUGCUGUCCGCCAGGGGACUACAAGCGCCAGCUUAAAACCCAAAGGACUUGGCGGUGCCUCAGACCCACCUAGAGGAGCCUGUUCUGGAACCGAUAACCCCCGUUCAACCUCACCUCCCCUUGUUAUUCCCGCCUAUAUACCGCCGUCGUCAGCAUACCCUGUGAAGGAAAUAUAGUAUGCACAAUGGGUAAACCCCAAAACGUCAGGUCGAGGUGUAGCGUAUGGGGAGGGAAGAAAUGGGCUACAUUCUCUAGUCUAGAGUACUACGAAAGAGGCUGUGAAACCAGCCCCUGAAGGUGGAUUUAGCAGUAGAUGGGAACUAGAGCGUCCCAUCGAAACUGGCUCUGAGGCGCGCACACACCGCCCGUCACUCUCCCCAAGUCUAUUUCUUAAGUUCAUAAAAUUAUCACCGGACAAAGGGGAGGCAAAGUCGUAA
rnacentral:rRNA from 1 species